UGUCAGUUAUGUUGUGUGCGGUUAAAUCUGCACAGCAGAUCAAUGAUGUUUAAUGGAACUUUGAGGUUUUUUCUUUCAGAUCAUUGAAUAACCGAAUCACUUUUCAUUUCAAGUGACAUUUCCUGAGUUUAUUCCGACUAUAAAAGAACCAUGAACAGACCAUAAAUAUCAUUAUCUACUGCUGAGCAACAUCUUUAGUCCUACCACUGUGAUUUUUAUCAAGAUUACCAACAUCUUCAGAUCUAUUAGUGGAUUAACAAUUUCAGAGGACUAAGAUAAAACAACUCGGAUUUAAAAUGUAAGCGGUUUUAGUGGAUCUGACAUCGAGGGAAAAGGUUUUUGUUUGGAGAUGAACGAGACAACACGAGGCACAGCAACAUUCAAUAUGACCAACCAGAGACAAGAUUUUCUAAUGUCGAAGUAAACAGAAACAGAUGAAGAUACAGCCCUUAGAAAUACUUAUUCUUGGUGAUCAACUGCUAUUGACAUUUUUGAAUCGGGACAAAUGAUGAGUGAUUUGAAAUAGGGCUGGGUUUCGAUUCAAAUUUCAAGAAUCGAUUCGAUUCCGAUUCUCAAGAUCUUUAAUCGAUUAUCAUUGUUCGAUUCGAUUCGAGCUGAUCCGAUCUUGGAGAU